rnacentral:rRNA from 1 species
AGUGAACGCUGGCGGUAGGCCUAACACAUGCAAGUCGAACGGCAGCACAGUAAGAGCUUGCUCUUACGGGUGGCGAGUGGCGGACGGGUGAGGAAUACAUCGGAAUCUACUUUUUCGUGGGGGUUAACGUAGGGAAACUUACGCUAAUACCGCAUACGACCUACGGGUGAAAGCAGGGGAUCUUCGGACCUUGCGCGAUUGAAUGAGCCGAUGUCGGAUUAGCUAGUUGGCGGGGUAAAGCCCCACCAAGGCGACGAUCCGUAGCUGGUCUGAGAGGAUGAUCAGCCACACUGGAACUGAGACACGGUCCAGACUCCUACGGGAGGCAGCAGUGGGGAAUAUUGGACAAUGGGCGCAAGCCUGAUCCAGCCAUACCGCGUGGGUGAAGAAGGCCUUCGGGUUGUAAAGCCCUUUUGUUGGGAAAGAAAAGCAGCAGGUUAAUACCCCGCUGUUCUGACGGUACCCAAAGAAUAAGCACCGGCUAACUUCGUG